rnacentral:tRNA from 1 species
GCGUCAGUAGCUCAGUGAUAGAGCCCCAACCUCGUAUGCGGGGAGACCUGGGUUCGAUUCCCGGCUGCUUCC